UACGGAGGAUGCAAGCGUUAUCCGGAAUGAUUGGGCGUAAAGCGUCCGCAGGUGGCAAUGUAAGUCUGCUGUCAAAGCGUCUGGCUCAACCAGAUAAAGGCAGUGGAAACUACAUAGCUAGAGUAAGGUAGGGGUAGAGGGAAUUCCUGGUGUAGCGGUGAAAUGCGUAGAGAUCAGGAAGAACACCGGUGGCGAAAGCGCUCUGCUGGACCUAAACUGACACUGAGGGACGAAAGCUAGGGGAGCGAACAGG
rnacentral:rRNA from 1 species